CAUGAGAAUACAAAUAACAAAGUUGUUGACAAUGCAAGAGAAACAAGAUGUGAGGAGAAAAAAGCUUGUCUUCUGUGAGACACUCCUCUGCCAAUCAUCUGGGACAGUUGGACAUGCUAGUAUGUACUGGUCAAUCAUUGCCAUUACAGUACCUGGAGCAUAGUUCAGUGAUGUGAGGUCGGUGGCUGGAAUGGACAGAAGACCCCACAGCUGUGGCCGUGUGCUGACCGACCAACAGGAGUGGGCAGUGGUGAAAAUGGGGAGGGUCAGGAAUGACAUACAGCUGUCCGAAAUAAAGCAGGCCAUUGAGAAGAACUAUGACACCUUUGCCAAGGUGGCUUCCAUCAGCCUACCAGCAAUCACCUGCCUUUUGAAGAGGCACCAGGU
ensembl:lncRNA